rnacentral:rRNA from 2 species
GGAGGCAGCAGUAGGGAAUCUUCCGCAAUGGACGAAAGUCUGACGGAGCAACGCCGCGUGAGUGAAGAAGGUUUUCGGAUCGUAAAACUCUGUUGUUAAAGAAGAACAAGGAUGAGAGUAACUGCUCAUCCCCUGACGGUAUUUAACCAGAAAGCCACGG